rnacentral:misc_RNA from 1 species
GAUGAAGAACGUAGCGAAAUGCGAUACUUGGUGUGAAUUGCAGAAUCCCGUGAACCAUCGAGUCUUUGAACGCAAGUUGCGCCCGAAGCCGUCAGGCCGAGGGCACGCCUGCCUGGGCGUCACACGCCGUUGCCCCCCCCGCGCCCCGCACCCAACUCUUUGGGAGCGACCGCGGGGCGGGCUGAUGAUGGCCUCCCGUGCGCUCCGCCGCGCGGUUGGCCCAAAUACCGAGUCCCCGGCGACGUGCGCCACGACGAUCGGUGGUUGAGAGACCUCUGUCGCAAGUCGUGCGCGCCCGUCGCGUCACGCGGGCUCGCAUAGCGCCUCGCGCCGCACCCGGUGCGGAGCUUUCAACGCGACCCCAGGUCAGGCGGGGUUACCCGCUGAAUUUAAGCAUAUCAAUAAGCGGACGA